rnacentral:lncRNA from 1 species
UGUUUUGACAGGGAGGUGGAAAGCAGGAGUAUAACUACAUUCAAGUGUCUGCUCUGUUGCUGUAUGAGAAAAUCCGUGCUGUAGCACAUCAGAGUUUUUCCAAAGUUUAUUUCUUAGGACAUCUUUGGGGUUUAUGGAUGAAGUGUUUAUAAGUCAUCCCAAGGAAGAAACAAUUCAGAUGAGAACUAUUCAAUGGAUUUGCAAUAACAAUCCAAAGAUGGAAGAAAACACUUCUAGGUAGACAAAAUUGCAAGUAUAGAGAAUCUAAAUUAAGAGAGAGCUUAGCUUUCAGAUGAAUUAAAAGAUUGUGGUGAUCAGAAUGUAGAGAUUGACGAGAGACAAAUGAAAUAAAACUAGAAGGACAAGUAGAGGUUUGUGGGUCAAGUUUUUAAAUUUUAUUAUAAAUGCACUGAUACUGUUCUGAACAUUUUCUUAUGCAUGGAAAUUUAAUGAUUAUGGCUAUUGAAAAAUGUAACUAACUCUUCAUUUAUAUUUUUCCGAGAAUGAAAUGGGUGGAAUUGCUGGGGGGUGAAAAUGUCCAAUGCGAAACAGGAGGCUAAUUUAAGAAGAUACUGCAAAAUUGGUCAUGAUGGCUCAAACUGCUGUUCAUAAUAGAGAGAAGAAAAUGGAUAGAGUUACAUAUGGAUGAGAGUAAAUCGACAAGGCUAAAUGCUAAAAUGUGG